rnacentral:rRNA from 1 species
CCUACGGGAGGCAGCAGUGAGGAAUAUUGGUCAAUGGCCGUAAGGCUGAACCAGCCAAGUCGCGUGAAGGAAGAAGGAUCUAUGGUUUGUAAACUUCUUUUAUAGGGGAAUAAAGGUAUCCACGUGUGGAUAUUUGCAUGUACCCUAUGAAUAAGCAUCGGCUAACUCCGUGCCAGCAGCCGCGGUAAUACGGAGGAUUCGAGCGUUAUCCGGUUUUAUUGGGUUUAAAGGGUGCGUAGGUUGUUUUUUAAGUCAGCGGUGAAAGUUUGUGGCACAACCAUAAAAUUGCCGUUGAAACUGGAAGACGUGAGUGUGUUUGAGGUAGGCGGAAUGCGUGGUGUAGCGGUGAAAUGCAUAGAUAUCACGCAGAACUCCGAUUGCGAAGGCAGCUUACUAAGCCAUAACUGACACUGAAGCACGAAAGCGUGGGGAUCAAACAGGAUUAGAUACCCUGGUAGUC